rnacentral:rRNA from 1 species
GACGAACGCUGGCGGCGUGCUUAACACAUGCAAGUCGAACGGAAAGGCCUCUUUCGGGGGGUACUCGAGUGGCGAACGGGUGAGUAACACGUGAGUAACCUGCCCUUGACUUUGGGAUAACUUCAGGAAACUGGGGCUAAUACCGGAUAGGAGCUCCUGCUGCAUGGUGGGGGUUGGAAAGUUUCGGCGGUUGGGGAUGGACUCGCGGCUUAUCAGCUUGUUGGUGGGGUAGUGGCUUACCAAGGCUUUGACGGGUAGCCGGCCUGAGAGGGUGACCGGCCACAUUGGGACUGAGAUACGGCCCAGACUCCUACGGGGGGCAGCGGUGGGGAAUAUUGCACAAGGGGUGGAAGCCUGAUGCAGCAACGCCGUGUGCGGGAUGACGGCCUUCGGGUUUUAACCCGCUUUCGCUCAUGACGAAGCUUUGGGUGACGGUAGUGGGUAAAGAAGCACCGGCUAACUACGU